UUUCAUUGAAUUCUUGCGAUG
rnacentral:piRNA from 1 species